rnacentral:ncRNA from 4 species
UAACAGGUCUGUGAUGCCCUUAGA